rnacentral:rRNA from 1 species
GUGGGGAAUCUUGCGCAAUGGGCGAAAGCCUGACGCAGCCAUGCCGCGUGAAUGAUGAAGGUCUUAGGAUUGUAAAAUUCUUUCACCGGGGACGAUAAUGACGGUACCCGGAGAAGAAGCUCCGGCUAACUUCGUGCCAGCAGCCGCGGUAAUACGAAGGGGGCUAGCGUUGCUCGGAAUUACUGGGCGUAAAGGGCGCGUAGGCGGACAGCUUAGUCAGAGGUGAAAGCCCAGGGCUCAACCUUGGAAUUGCCUUUGAUACUGGCUGGCUUGAGUUUGGGAGAGGUGGGUGGAACUCCGAGUGUAGAGGUGAACUUCGUAGAUAUUCGGAAGAACACCAGUGGCGAAGGCGACUCACUGGCCCAAUACUGACGCUGAGGCGCGAAAGCGUGGGGAGCAAACAGGAUUAGAAACCCCGGUAGUCC